UACGGGGGGGGGCAAGCGUUGUUCGGAAUUACUGGGCGUAAAGGGCUCGUAGGCGGCCAACUAAGUCAGACGUGAAAUCCCUCGGCUUAACCGGGGAACUGCAUCUGAUACUGGAUGGCUUGAGUUCGGGAGAGGGAUGCGGAAUUCCAGGUGUAGCGGUGAAAUGCGUAGAUAUCAGGAGGAACACCGGUGGCGAAGGCGGUUCUCUGGGCAUUACCUGACGCUGAGGAGCGAAAGUGUGGGGAGCGAACAGG
rnacentral:rRNA from 1 species